GAGGUGUAAGUCCGAGGAAGGAUGCACAUUGGAUGUGAAAGCCACAGCCGUGGUGACCAGGGACCAGGGUCUGCAAAUGUCCACAAAAGACUUGCAAGCAGCAUGAAGUAGAAGAUAGAUGGACACAGAAACUAAUUAAUUUCACCACAGUGUGGAUAAAGCCGCAACCGAGGUGGAUGCAAAGCAGCUGGGAGAGAUUCAAUCAGCCUGGGAGGGCAGGAGCAACCCAGGAAGGCUUCCAGGGAAGGCCAUGAUUAAACCGAGUAUUAAAGGUUGAGAAUGAAUGUAUUCAGGUCGUCGCUGAAGAAAGAAGGAGAGCGAUUCAUAAUCGGCAAGCGUAUUUGGAGAAAUCAAUAGUCUGAGAUAAAAGAGACAGCACGCUGUUGCAGAAGAAUCGUGAUCGAUGCCGUCAAACAAAUGUACGUUCUGCAGCAAGGUGCUGCUCGGUCUGGCCGAGUGAGUCUGCUCUUCUUAUCUGUCAAACAGGGAAUAACAUCCCCAAAUCACAGGGCGUGGCAGAGGAGGAAAUGGAAGAGAGAACGAUCCCAAUUGCAGUUUAUCUGUGGUUCAUCUGGCUUCAUCUCACACCACCUCUGUUGACAUGGGAGGGCUACCGGCCCACAUCCGGAAAGUAUUAUGAAACCACCGGGGUUCCUCCCCUCCCUGCUCCAGGGAAGCCUGAGAGGGACCCUGCAGAUUGCAUUUGGAAUCCAUCUGCCAGGUAAUGCUUUCUAGUCUUUGCUAAGCAGGAGCUGCAAGGUGGGGAA
rnacentral:lncRNA from 1 species